rnacentral:rRNA from 1 species
GGGUCAGUAGGUUGGUCGUGCCACCGGUACGUACUGGCCUCACUGAUUCCUCCUUCCUGAAGAACCGUAAUGCCAUUAAUUUGGUGUUGCGGGGAAACAGGACUGUUACUUUGAAAAAAUUAGAGUGUUUAAAGCAAGCUAACGCUUGAAUACAUUAGCAUGGAAUAAUAAAAUAGGACGAUCGAUCCUAUUUUGUUGGUUUCUAGGAUUGACGUA